GUGAGAAUGAUUUCUGAUGGAAAGGGAGCUGGUGAGUGGAGACUAAGACUCAAAGCAGGGAGAAUGAUGUAACCGCUGAGCUGAGGAAGCUCAACCUUGAAGUAUGAGGUCUGUUUACAGACCUGAAGCCAAUAAGAAGCAUCGGGGAGACUCGAACCUGGCACGUUGAUCUCUAAAGUGUACAGCUGCACUCUUCACGGACUACAAUCUAUCUGCCCCUUGAAAUUGUACCUGUGAUUUUUAUGACUGUCUUAAAGACAUCGGUGAUUUAUAUCUUAUUCAAAUAUAAGUUAACCUUUGUGUUUCUUAACUGAGUGUUAUGAAAUAUAAAAAAAAUGUUUUUUACUGUGAAAAUUUACUCUCUAACUUACCUGAUUGUAAAUUUAGAUUUGGGCAUAUCAAGUCUUUCAUUAUUUAAUGGAAAGGAAAGUGCAUGUAUGACUUCAAAUAAAUAAUGUAGAGCAUUACUAGAAGUGAAAUAGAACUUUGCCUUCUAAACAGUCACACCUUUCUUUGCUUGCCUAUUGUAUUAGGAGGCAUUUGAUGCAGGACAGAGAGACCACUCUAUGUAUCUUCAGUGGGGACAGAUUUAAAGCAGGGAAUUUAGUGCUUAUAAAAUCAGUGAAAAGGUUCAAGCAAUGGUUUCUAGGGUUGGCCUCCUGGAAUGACUUCAA